rnacentral:rRNA from 1 species
GAUGAACGCUGGCGGCGUGCCUAAUACAUGCAAGUCGAGCGAACAGAUAAGGAGCUUGCUCCUUUGACGUUAGCGGCGGACGGGUGAGUAACACGUGGGUAACCUACCUAUAAGACUGGAAUAACUCCGGGAAACCGGUUCUAAUGCCGGAUAACAUUUAGAACCGCAUGGUUCUAAAGUGAAAUAUGGUUUUGCUAUCUCUUAUAGAUGGACCCGCGCCGUAUUAGAUAGUUGGUAAGGUAACGGCUUACCAAGGCAACGAUGCGUAGCCGACCUGAGAGGGUGAUCGGCCACACUGGAAGGGAGACACGGUCCAGGGGCCUACGGGAGGCAGCAGUAGGGAAUGUUCGGCAAUGGGCGAAAGGCUGACGGAGCAAAGCCGCGUGAGUGAUGAAGGGCUUCGGAUCGUAAAACUCUGUUAUUAGGGAAGAACAAAUGUGUAAGUAACUGUGCACGUCUUGACGGUAACUAAUCAGAAAGCCACGGCUAACUACGUG